AAGGGGGCUUUUUCUUUCUUUCGCUCUUUCUUCUCGCAGGGAGGAAAGUUGCUUCGCACAAGAACAUGUUGUCAAGGAAAUAAACCUUAGCGAGGGUAGGCAUUAAACACACAGCUGCUGGACUUGGCCGGGCCUUAGACACUGGUGGUAAUGACAAUGAUGCUUAGUGGCAGCAAACCAGAUCCAAACAUAAAUAGGGCUGCAUGAAAGGAGAGGAAAUGGAACAAAACGGUUCCUCGGGUACCACUGGCAGAGGAAUAACAUCAAUUUCGAUUAAAAAGCGAAAGAAUUCUCCUGUUUCCACACAUUAGUAAAGGCAUGCAAAUUCAUAACUCACCAACAAUGUACCUUUGAAAUGCAGCUGCACCCCACAAACGGGGCCUUUCUGCGUGCAGAGAAGCAGCCCUGUUUUAAGCAGAAAGAAAACAACUAUUGAAAAAGCCACAAGAGUCCGUGGCAGCAAGGAGGGGCGCCGGGAGAGGUGGAGGAAACGUGUUGGGUCUGGCAGAUGCGAGACACCGGCGUUUUCCAUAGAAAGGAGCCUUCAUUUCUGGUCGUCCCCCAAAGAAGUGGUUCUUCCUGGGAUCCUCCAGCAGCGUUCUUGUUGGGUGCACAACGCCGUUUUGAUAUCUCCACCUGCUGGAGAAAUCCCAGCACGCACAAAGGAGCCGGCCUCUGCCUUCUGAAAAAUACCCAUCUCCUCCGCACCAGGACAGCACAGCCUCCUUUCCUCCUCCUCCUCCUCCUCCUCUGGGUCAGGAAGAAAGCACAGGGCACGAUGUUCGUCCUGCCAGUGACACUUGCAGACGUUUUCAUCUGCACAGGAGAAAUGUUUCUUCAGAACUGCAUCGAGAGGGAUACAGUAAAAACACUUCUAACACGAUACAGAUGAAAGGCAUCAAAAUCCUUGGGCAAGGUAUCAGCCGCCUCUUCUAAAACUGUUUUUGGGAAUUUUUGGUGGCUGUUGUUGCAGACCCCCUGUACUCAGAAAAAAAAUAAAAAUAAAAAUAUAUAUGUGUAUAAAACCCA
rnacentral:lncRNA from 1 species